rnacentral:lncRNA from 1 species
GCCUCUACUCCUAAAUAUCUCUCUCCAUACCAUAUCUCUUGCAGGGCCUGUGUAAUAGAUGAAAAUAUCUAUCUUUUUAAUUAUUUAGCUUUGUUUCUACUUUCUUCCACCCUUCUAAUAUAUGAGAAGGAGAGUCAGUUAGGGAGAGAUGCGAGAAUCAAAAGGUUUCUAAUAUAUGAGAAGGAGAGUCAAUUAGGGAGAGAUGCGAGAAUCAAAAGGCUCUGU